rnacentral:rRNA from 1 species
CUGGCUCAGAUUGAACGCUGGCGGCAGGCCUAACACAUGCAAGUCGAACGGUAACAGGAAGCAGCUUGCUGCUUCGCUGACGAGUGGCGGACGGGUGAGUAAUGUCUGGGAAACUGCCUGAUGGAGGGGGAUAACUACUGGAAACGGUGGCUAAUACCGCAUAACGUCGCAAGACCAAAGAGGGGGACCUUCGGGCCUCAUGCCAUCAGAUGUGCCCAGAUGGGAUUAGCUUGUUGGUGAGGUAACGGCUCACCAAGGCGACGAUCCCUAGCUGGUCUGAGAGGAUGACCAGCCACACUGGAACUGAGACACGGUCCAGACUCCUACGAGAGGCAGCAGUGGGGAAUAUUGCACAAUGGGCGCAAGCCUGAUGCAGCCAUGCCGCGUGUAUGAAGAAGGCCUUCGGGUUGUAAAGUACUUUCAGCGGGGAGGAAGGUGUUGUGGUUAAUAACCGCAGCAAUUGACGUUACCCGCAGAAGAAGCACCGGCUAACUCCGUGCCAGCGGCCGCGGUAAUACGGAGGGUGCAAGCGUUAAUCGGAAUUACUGGGCGUAAAGCGCACGCAGGCGGUCUGUCAAGUCGGAUGUGAAAACCCCGGGCUCAACCUGGGAACUGCAUUCGAAACUGGCAGGCUUGAGUCUUGUAGAGGGGGGUAGAAUUCCAGGUGUAGCGGUGAAAUGCGUAGAGAUCUGGAGGAAUACCGGUGGCGAAGGCGGCCCCCUGGACAAAGACUGACGCUCAGGUGCGAAAGCGUGGGGAGCAAACAGGAUUAGAUACCCUGGUAGUCCACGCCGUAAACGAUGUCUACUUGGAGGUUGUGCCCUUGAGGCGUGGCUUCCGGAGCUAACGCGUUAAGUAGACCGCCUGGGGAGUACGGCCGCAAGGUUAAAACUCAAAUGAAUUGACGGGGGCCCGCACAAGCGGUGGAGCAUGUGGUUUAAUUCGAUGCAACGCGAAGAACCUUACCUGGUCUUGACAUCCACAGAAGAAUCCAGAGAUGGAUUUGUGCCUUCGGGAACUGUGAGACAGGUGCUGCAUGGCUGUCGUCAGCUCGUGUUGUGAAAUGUUGGGUUAAGUCCCGCAACGAGCGCAACCCUUAUCCUUUGUUGCCAGCGAUUAGGUCGGGAACUCAAAGGAGACUGCCGGUGAUAAACUGGAGGAAGGUGGGGAUGACGUCAAGUCAUCAUGGCCCUUACGACCAGGGCUACACACGUGCUACAAUGGCGCAUACAAAGAGAAGCGACCUCGCGAGAGCAAGCGGACCUCAUAAAGUGCGUCGUAGUCCGGAUUGGAGUCUGCAACUCGACUCCAUGAAGUCGGAAUCGCUAGUAAUCGUGGAUCAGAAUGCCACGGUGAAUACGUUCCCGGGCCUUGUACACACCGCCCGUCACACCAUGGGAGUGGGUUGCAAAAGAAGUAGGUAGCUUAACCUUCGGGAGGGCGCUUACCACUUUGUGAUUCAUGACUGGGGUGAAGUCGUAACAAGGUA